rnacentral:rRNA from 1 species
UACGUAGGGGGCAAGCGUUGUCCGGAUUUAUUGGGCGUAAAGAGCGUGUAGGCGGCCUGGAAGGUCAGCUGUGAAAACUCGAGGCUCAACCUCGAGACGUCGGUUGAAACCACCUGGCUAGAGUCCGGAAGAGGAGUGUGGAAUUCCCGGUGUAGCGGUGGAAUGCGUAGAGAUCCGGAAGAACACCUGUGGCGAAAGCGG